UACGGGGGGGGCAAGCGUUGUUCGGAUUUACUGGGCGUAAAGGGCGCGUAGGCGGCGCAACAAGUCACUUGUGAAAUCUCCGGGCUUAACUCGGAAAGGUCAAGUGAUACUGUUGUGCUAGAGUGCGGAAGGGGCAACUGGAAUUCUCGGUGUAGCGGUGAAAUGCGUAGAUAUCAUGAGGAAUACCAGAGGCGAAGGCGGCUACCUGGACAAUUGCUGACGCUCAGGCACGAAAGCGUGGGGAGCAAAAGGG
rnacentral:rRNA from 1 species